rnacentral:sRNA from 2 species
UGCGCCGUUCAUGGGGAGUAGCCGGUUUCUAUUCGUUCUAUUUUUAAUAGUGCGAUAAACAGAAACGCUCGUAUCAACAUACUCGUUUCAUCUAUUGAAACGUGGUGCGAGCAGCCAGGUAAGGUUGGCGAGACCAUAGACACGUAGCUCCGUCGUUAGGUUGGGGGUGGGUUACGUGUAUAUGGAGCCGCCCGGCCGA